rnacentral:sRNA from 1 species
GCAAGCAAAGAAAAAAGGCGACAGAUUACUCUGUCGCCUUUUUUC